rnacentral:lncRNA from 12 species
AAUUACCAUAUGCAUAGGCAUGGUUUAUGCACACUCUUAAUCAGACUGGUAGAUCCAGUAUGUGGGGUCUGAAGCUUAUAAAAAGUUAGUAAAGGAAUAAAAGAGAGUAUUGGUGGGUGGGUCUUUCAGAAAGAGUUCACAAAAUUAGCAACCUAGAAUUUGAUACCAGGUCUACGGAGGGGACUGUGGAAGUGAGGGGCUGCAAAUCUGAAGCAUCACCAGCUCCAAAACAAGAGUGCCUGGUUCAUGACACAUUCAGAUUGUACACAAGCAACACAAAGGUGGGGACAACUGCCAAUGGCCAAGAUCUAUGUAUUUCCUUACAGUCUUCUUCAACACUAAACUGCAAAUACUCCCAUGCACAUUUUUGCCCAGCUCAACCAGAAAGGAAUACUUCUGCUUUGCGGAACAUCACCGCAAGCAGAGGGCUGUGAUUCACCAGUUUUCCAAGGGCAGUCAUCACAUGUUUCUGCCUGCUGUUGGACAGAGGAGGCAUUACGGAAAUGCAAAACUGCCUAUAGGAAUUCUGCAGAGGAUUCGGGCUGAAAAGGGGCGAAACCCAAGCAAGGGAAGAUCAACCUCAAAGAUGAAUGUGAAAAAAAAAAAAAAAGGAUGA